AGAGGAAAGGGGGUCCACGCCAGCUGCGAGGUAAAUAUCUCAUCUCUCUCUGCCUCCUCCUCUUCUCCAUGCCGCCGCCGCCUCCUCCUCCCCCGCGACCCUGCCUCCUCCUUUCCUUUCCUCGAUGUCGAUGGCGGCACGGGGGAGCUCGUGGUCAGGCGGAGUCCUUUCCCGCGUCCAUCCCGGCGGGGCCGGCGACCUGCAGCCAAAGGGUGACGGCGGCUAGGAGACAGAGAAUAUGAGAGGGGGAGAGAAGAGGAAGGGGGCGAGGGAGAAAGAGAGAGGUUGCUGCGCGGGGUGGUUUCGGAUUGGGUGCAGGUCGCGGCCAUGGGCGAGCAGGGGUGCUGUGGUUUUUGUGAUGGGAUCCGACAAGGUGCGGCUGGUGGUGGGGCCCCAUGGGGCGCGGUGGCCACCGCACGGGAAUGGGGGCUACUACCGGGUGCUGGUGCGGAGCGACCUCCAGCGGCAGAAGCCGGCGACAUCUUCUCUCCCGGCAACGGUUUCGGCUGGUGCGUCACGCUCGCUCCCCCGCCUCGGCGGCUCGGCCGUCGGGUCUUGCUGCAUUCCUCAGCACCUUUUACUGUUGCAUUUGGCCAGUGACAAGUUUUGUGAAAAGAAUUGCUACAUUGUUAUUACAGUAACUGCUGACAUUGAGAUCUUGGCUGCUACUUGUAUGUACCAGUUCAGGAACUCGUAUUAUGCGUUACUACAAUCAGCCAAGUGAUUUGUUUUCUAAUUUUUAGUAUCAUGUUGUCCUUAAACUUGAGAUUUCUGCAGCGUUUCCUAUAAACUACGGCUCUCUGUUAUUCUAUCAAGUGCUAGCGUCCCGCAACCUUAAAGCCCACAGCCGACCAACAGAUGCAACAUAGAUAAAAAGGUGUUCAUAGGAUAGUUCAAACUGGAACUGAAGCCGAUCUAUUCUUGUCCCAUGAAAGCCUAGCUUUAUUCCAUUUCCACCGUCUGAUUUCGUCAUGGAAGCAUGGGGAUGGAUGUUUGAAAAUGUGCAUAAUAUGUGAUAUCUUUGCCCAUGUGCAUUUCAUACAAAAAGAGGUCACAAUAGAGCUGAGCCGCCACAAAAGAGUUUUGUUGAGCUUAGAGAUAUGGAUCCUUGUGAAACAGAGGAGAAGGUCCGGUCCUCAACCCCUUUGAAAAAACUAUAAGCAGCGGCCAUACAGUUCAGAACAGCUUGCACGUGGGAUUACAAAUGGCCGUAGGUUGCCCACUGCAACAGCCUUGUUGUUUUCUUGUAGCAAGGGACUACCAAAGAAGAAGAGAUGAUGCGGGUUCAGAAUCUGACAAUAUCUGUGUUAGUGCUGGCAGAUCCAAAGACAGAAAGAAACAGACAGUUUCACAUACUAGCAACCGUAGGAUCAUUUUCAAAAAGCCUACCGUGAUGGAAAAAAUCAGAAUCCCAACAAAAGUGCUUUUCGAUGCUAUGAUGCAGCAGCUAGGUCUCCCAAAUGCAGUGUACUCAACACAGAAGGCAAGAGCAAUUGGUCUUCAUACAACUAUUCACUUCUAUCCCUCCAAGUAUCAACUGGAUAACAAAUCUUCCAGGAUAGUCAAUAUCAAUCCAUGUAGCCAACAAACUAUAAGAUGUUGAAGACCAACUAGCAAACGAAGCUCUCAAGUACAUGAAAAGCAUCCAUAGUAAAGUGCUACAGGACAUAAACUACGACAACAUGCAGCUGCUCCAGCAAAAGUGUGAACCUCUUGAGCAUCAGCAGAAAGGAAAACACAACCUAAUAUACUAUUUUAGCAACAGCUGGUGCCAUAGCCUCGGUGGAGAUCACAUGCCAGUGAAGGAACUUUACUAUAUAAUAGAUAGCAACUUCACAGCCGGAUCAACAUCCAAAGACAAUGAUCUGAAUCAUAUUUUGUCGCAAGUAAGAUAUGUUGUUGAUCGUCUCAGUGAUACAGCCACACAAUCAGAUUAUGAUCUCCAAUAGACAAACAAGUACUAUUGGAGCCAGGAUGAUGAUGUUGAAGGAAUUUCUGCUAUGAACAAUGAAAACAUUCAAUCGCAACCACUAUGAACAAUUGCCUGAACGCCGAUGAAACAUCCACCAAUCACACUAGAUAUGCAUGCCGAUGAAACAUCCACCAAUCACACUGGAGAUGUAUCUCUGCCUAUCUACCUUCCUUCCUAAUAGCAUUGUAAAUAUUCCAUCUGCCUAUCUACCUUCCUUCUUAAUAGCAUUGUAAAUAUUCCAUCGUA